rnacentral:rRNA from 1 species
UGUUACCCAAAACAUGAAUCUUAGUUCAACUUUAAAUUUACUCAAAGAAGCAAUUUAAUCAUACCGUAAAUUUAAAAUAUAGUCUAAAGAGGGACAGCUCUUUAGAUAAAGGGAACAACCUGACAUAGAGAGUAAACUUUGUAACACCCACAGUUGGCCUAAAAGCAGCCACCAGUUAAGAAAGCGUUCAAGCUCAACACCACAACACAAUUUAAUACCUAAAUAUAUAAUGAACUCCUAUUUCCACAUUGGGUUAAUCUAUUACAAUAAUAGAUGAGACUAUGCUAUUAUAAGUAACAAGAAAACAUUCUCCUAAAGCACAAGCCUAUAUCAGACCGAAUAAAUCACUGAUAGUUAACAGCCCUAUAACAAUAUUAACCUUAACACUUAUUUAUACUACUGUUAAUCCAACACAGGUGUGCUAAAAAGGAAAGAUUAAAAGAAGUAAAAGGAACUCGGCAAACACAAACCCCGCCUGUUUACCAAAAACAUCACCUCUAGCAUUACAAGUAUUAGAGGCACCGCCUGCCCAGUGACAUAUGUUCAACGGCCGCGGUAUCCUGACCGUGCAAAGGUAGCAUAAUCAUUUGUUCCUUAAUUAGGGACUAGUAUGAAUGGCUUGACGAGGGUUUAACUGUCUCUUACUUCCAAUCAGUGAAAUUGACCUCCCAGUGAAGAGGCUGGGAUACAAAAACAAGACGAGAAGACCCUAUGGAGCUUAAAUUAACCAGGCUAAGCACCAAUAAAACGACCCUACUGGGAGUAAACUAAAACGCUCGUAGACUGGCAAUUUCGGUUGGGGUGACCUCGGAGAAUAAAAAAACCUCCGAAAGAAAUAAUUCAGACAAACAAGUCUAAAUAAUACAACAAAAACUGAUCCAAACAUUUUGAUCAACGAACCAAGUUACCCUAGGGAUAACAGCGCUAUCUUGUUUUAGAGUCCAUAUCGACAACAAGGUUUACGACCUCGAUGUUGGAUCAGGACACCCUAAUGGUGCAGCAGCUAUUAAGGGCUCGUUUGUUCAACGAUUAAUAGUCCUACGUGAUCUGAGUUCAGACGGAGCAUCAG